AGUUUUUGUAUUUUUACUGGUGGUGGUGUUUUUACCUAUGCAUGUUGGCUACUGUGCUAUGAUUCUAAACCUAUGUUUUAUUUAACUAAUAAUUCUGCAAAUGGAAGGACAAAGAUGAAUAAACACUCAACUCUGAGUCUAUCCUUUGACCCAUGUAACUCUGAUUCUAAGUGAAGUGCUGUCCUGAUUCAAACAAAAGAGGACUAAUCCUAGACCCUACAGGUAUACAGGACCCUGCAAAUGUUACAAGUGGGAUUUGGCCCUGUGUGACUUUCAACCUGAAUACCCUCCACAGCUAACACCACCUGAGUUUGAAAUGAGUCUGUCCAUUUCUUUCCAAAGUCCUACUAACAGAAAUCAUCCAUGCUCUGAUGUUCUGAAAGGCUUUGGGCUUCCCUAACUUCAAUAUUAAUAGACACAGAUUCUAUGACAUACCAUUAAUUAAUUUGACUUUAUUAGAGAACCAAAAUGUAAUAGGUUCUCUCAAAAUAAACUUAUUUCUCAGCAGUAACAAGUUUUUUAAGUCAUUUGAUACCCUGAACAACUGUGAAGAGUUUUUCAACUUUCAUUACAUUCACAAUAGCUGUGGAAUGUCAAAGAGAUGUUUUGCAACAUUAAGCAAUUCAUAUCACUUUGGAACUGGGGAUGAGGAUGCUGGGGAUGAGCCAAUGCCUUGUGUGAGUUGACAAUAGAUGUAUACCACGGGACAUAUAUUACUCUUAAAUUUAACUGCUUACAUUGAUAGCUAUAAGGAUAAUAAACAUUUACAUUGAAAAUUAUCUUCAAAACUGAGUGUGAUUCGCCUAAUUUUAAAAGAAAAUAUUAAAUGUUUUGGUUUCCCAGCGAAACUAAAAGAACACAUCAAAAAAUUAUUCAACAAGAUCCAAUGAGCUUUAUCCCAGAGACACCAGAAUAGUUCAACAUAUGUAAACCAAUCAACAUAAUCCACCACACAAACAGACUCAAGGACCAAAACCAUGUAUGUGAUCAUCUCAAUAGAUGCAGAAAAGGCCUUUGACAAAACCCUUACAUCUCUUCAUGAUAAAAGUCCAAAAAUCUAGGGAUACAGGGGGUGUAUCUGAACAUGAUAGAGGCAAUAGACAACACACAGUUAACAUCAUGUUAAAUAGAGAAAAACUCAAAAGUAUUUCCAAUAAACUAGCAAGACAAGGAUGUCCACUCUUAUCAUUCCUGAUCAAUACAGUGCCUGAAGUUUUUGCUGAUGCAAUAUGACAGUGACUAAGAAAGGGGAAUACACAUAGAAAAAGAAGAAGUCAAAGUAUCCUUAUUUGCAGAUAACAAAAUUCUAUACAUAGAGACCCUAAAGAUUUCACCACAAACUCCUACAGAGGAUAAAUGUAUUCAGUGGGAAUACCAGGUUACAAAAUAGCCUUUCUACAUACAAAUGACAAACCUAAUGAGAAAGAAAUCAGAGGCAUAAUCCCAGUCACAAUAUCUUCAAAAAACCUUACAGCAAAUAUAACUAAAGAAGUGAAGAAAUAUAAAAAUAAAACUUGCAAUAAAAUUUUAAGACAUCAAAGAAGAUAACAAAAUAUGGAAAGACGUCCAUACUCAUGGAUUGAUAGAACUAAUACUGUGAAAAUGGCCAUUCUACUAGAAGAAAUUUACAGACUCAAUGUAAUCACCAUCAAAAGCUGACUAAAUUAAUCUUAAAUGUUAUUUGAAACACACACACACACACACACACACACACCACCAC
rnacentral:lncRNA from 1 species